GACACAUAAAUAUAAGGCUUCUAUCAAGGAUUAAGAUAGCAGCACUUCUUACAAUUUUCUCUCUUCUUGUAUUAAGAUCUAAUAUUCUCAAGGAUUAAGAUAGCAGCACUUCUUACAAUUUUGGUCAUUUUAUUGGAUUAUAUGAUGAUUUAUUAUACGUAUGAUAAAAUUUAAAAUGAUUUUUAUUAUACAUAAUAAUAAUGAUUGAGUUAAGAUAUUGCACGCACAAAGAGUUAAACUAAUAAAAUAAUUUACGUAAUACAAACAUUAUCAAUACAGCUAAACCAUAUUAUGUUUUAAGAAAUAUGUCUACUAUUUAAUAAUUAAAACCAAACAUUCAGUAUAUUAUAUUAUGCUUUAAUUAAUUCAAAACAUUAUAAUCAGGUGGCUAUGCCUUCGUAAGGCUCUAUAAAUAGCAACCAGCUUAACCAUGCAACACACCACGCACAAAACAAAACUUAACUCAAGAUGGGGAUGAAGAACAUGGCAGUACUUAAGUUUAUAGUUAUGUUCGCCUUUGUAAUUUUACUAAUCCAACUCGAAACUGCUCAAGCAUCUGACCCAUACCCGCUCUCUAACAUAAUGCUGGAAGGAAUCGGACGCAAUUCUCUACAAUGUGUUGGAUUCAAGGAACAAUGCGGCCCCUUAUACUGGUGUUGCGGAACUUGUUAUUGUGACUAUGUUUAUUCGGCGGGUAGAUUUCAAUGCACAACUGCGGCGUUCGAUACUUGGUGUGGUUAAAAAAAAUGCAAUAAUUCUAUAUAUUAUAAUAUUAUCCAACAUUUAAUAAAUCAUAUUGUUCUACAUCAGUGUGUUGUUGGCUUUUAAGGCCAUUAUAUUGUUAGUUGUUGUUGUUAUUAAUUUAAGUUGAAAAAUAUAUGCCAAGUAUCAUUAUGGUUAUUGUUAGUAAUUUUUGCUUAAAUUUUCGAUAUGAUGUUAUUUAAUUUUUGAUUUCUUUCUUAUGCUUAAUUAUUAAUAAUUCUUUAGGAGUAUAUAGUCUUGUUUUAUUUGGAAUAUGUAAUUUUAUUCAACUGAAAUUUAAGUUUGAUACUUGCUGUCCAGUUUUUUAAAUCUUUAGAUCCCUUCAACUACCCUAUGAAAAAUAAUUCAUUCGAUUUUUACUGUAGCAACUAGUGUUCAUCAACUGAUCGUAUUUGAUAUAUAAUUUUAAUAGUUUUAAACCCACGAAGAACCCAUUGUUGUUGCUCAUCUUAAACCCACGGAAAACCCACGAAAUUUUGGCUUAGUUCUUGCUCAUUUUCAAGGUUAUAGAAGAAGUAUUACCAUUAUGCUCCUUGUUAAGGAUUGCAUUCUACUGGGCUGCUGCUUCAAUUGGGUCGCCUGUCUCUGCCUUCGAUGAGGUGUUAGUCCCUUUUCCGGUGCUUCCGUGGACAAUUGACGUCCAGCUUGGGGCCGAUUGUUCUGAUGCCAUCGAAAGGCUAGGGGAAUUAAAGGAGCUGGGGUUAAGGGUGGAUGCGUUGAGCACGUCGCAAGUCUGGGCUGAAUCAAUCUCAGGCUGUUUUCCAGUGGUAGCCGGUGCCAACACUUGGUAGGUUCCACCAUGCCUGGCCAGCAAAGGGGAACCAGAGGGGAGGGCCUUUUAGAGAGAGAAACGGGGAGGUUAGAGAGUGUUUUAUUAUUAUUAUUAUUAUUAUUAUUAUUAUUAUUAUUAUUAUUAUUAUUAUCAUUAUUAUUGUUAUUAAUUAUUAUUAUUAUUAUUAUUAUUAUUAUUAUUAUUAUUACUA